rnacentral:lncRNA from 1 species
CCCCCAUCAUCUAGCUGGCCUCAGGAAUCAACCAUGUGUCCCUUGGAGAGCCAUGGAGCCCCAUGCUAGGAGGCCAGCAGGAAUGUGGGUGGGGCAGGAACCUGCAGGAACGGGGACGGGUCCCAGGAGUGCUGGGAAACCGGCUAGGCUGGUCCAGCUUUUCAUCUUGGUAAUGAGCCGCAUUGGGGCAGCCAGACGUGGCACCCCUGGGCCACCAGCCCCACUGAUGGAGGCCGAGACACAGCCCUGUCCCACCCACAAAGACACAGACAGCAGCCACCUGGCCGAGCCAGGAAGACCAAGACACUCCCGUCCCCACACACACACCAGAAAAGGGAAGGGGCCUGAGUGACAGCCGGAGUACAUGCCCAGCCCUCCCCUUUCUUACUCAGAGGGUAACACGGACACGUGUGCUGAGAGCAGUGGCCGCUGGCCCUCGAAGGGGCCUCAGAAGCCAUCCGGCCCCACCUGCUCAUUAUCCAGAUGAGCAAGCCAAGGUCCCGGACGUGAAGUCACUACCCAGGGUCACUUCGGAGGGCAGCCCAUGUAGGAGAAAGACUUCGGAUCUGGAGUCACACAGGGUUCAGAUCCUGACUGCACCAACCAGCAGUGUGACCUGUGACGAUGUGACAGAGGAGCUACACUGUAUUUCCUUUUUAAUCUUUUUGUAUUUUCUUCAAAUUUUUAAAUAGAGAUGGUUUCUCACUAUGUUGACCAGGCUGGUCCUGAACUCCUGGCCUCAAGCGAUCCUCCCAUCUCGGCCUCCCAGAGUGCUAGGAUUACAGGUAUGACCACCAUAUGCCUGGCCAGCCACUCUGUAUUUCUGAGUCUCAGUUUCAUCAUCUGUGGAACGUGAACAAGAAAUCCUCUCUAGUUAUGUUUAUGUGUGGGCCCAGGCACAGGGGUGCACACCUGUAAUCCCAGCACUUUGGGAGGCCGAGGCAGGAGCAUCUCUUGAGCCUAGGAGAUCGAGACCAACUUGGGCAAAUAGGAAGGCCUUGUCUCUACAAAAAAUACAAAAAUUAGCCAGAUGUGGUGGUGUGCACCUAUAGUCCCAGCUACUUGAGAAGCUUAGGUGGGAGAAUCGCUUGAGCCCAGGCGGUCAAGGAUGCAGUGAGCUGAGAUCACACCACUGCAUUCCAGCCUGGGAGACGAAGAAAGACCCUGUCUCAAAUUAAAACCAAACAAAAGUGUAUGUGUGGUAUGUUUGGGGGGCGGGUAAUCAGGAUCACUUUUAGAAACACCUCAGUCAGGCCGGGCGCGGUGGCUCACACCUGUAAUCCUAGCACUUUGGGAGGCCGAGGUGGGUGGAUCACGACGUCAGGAGAUGGAGACCAUCCUGGCCAACCUGGUGAAACCCCGUCUCUACUAACAUACAAAAAAAUUAGCUGGGCAUGGUGGCACACACCUGUAGUUCCAGCCACUCGGGAGGCUGAGGCCGGGGAAUUGCUUGAACCCGGGAGGCGGAGGUUGUAGUGAGCUGAAAUUGCAUCACUGCACUCCAGCCUGGCAGCAGAACGAGACUCUGUCUCAAAAAAGAAAAAAAAAGAAACACCUCCGCCAAAUUUCAAAGACACCUUUGUGUUCAAGGACUGAACUGGAGGUUCAGAGCAGCGUCCAGGGCCCCGAAACAGACUCGAGAUCAUUUAUACUGUUUUAAAAUUUUGAAAGUCUUGUUCUGUUGUCCAUGCUGCAGUGCACUGGUACAAUCUUGGCUCACCGCAACCUCCAUCUCUGGGUUCAAGCAAUUCUCCUGCCUCAGCCUCCUGAGUAGCUGGGAUUAUAGGCGCAUGCUACCAUGCCUGGCUAAUUUUUGUAUUUUUAGUAAAGACAGGGUUUUGCCAUGUUGGCCAGGGUGGUCUUGAACUCCUGAUCAGGUGAUCGGCCUGCUUCAGCCUCCCAAAGUGCUGGGAUUACAGGUGUCAGCCACCAUACUAGCCCUGGCUAAUUUUUUAAUUUUUUUGUAGACAUGGAGUCUCUCUCUGUUGCCCAGGCUGGUCUUAAACUCCUGAGCUCGGCCGGGCGCGGUGGCUCAAGCCUGUAAUCCCAGCACUUUGGGAGGCUGAGACGGGCGGAUCACGAGGUCAGGAGAUCGAGACCAUCCUGGCUAACCCGGUGAAACCCCGUCUCUACUAAAAAAUACAAAACACUAGCCGGGCGAGGUGGCGGGCGCCUGUAGUCCCGGCUACUCGGGAGGCUGAGGCAGGAGAAUGGCGUGAAUCCGGGAGGCAGAGCUUGCAGUGAGCUGAGAUCCGGCCACUGCACUCCAGCCUGGGCGACAGAGUGAGACUCUGUCUCAAAAAAAAAAAAAAAAA